GUUGACCUCGGAUCAGGUAGGGAUACCCGCUGAACUUAAGCAUAUCAAUAAGCGGAGGAAAAGAAACCAACAGGGAUUGCCCUAGUAACGGCGAGUGAAGCGGCAACAGCUCAAAUUUGAAAUCUGGCGCAAGCCCGAGUUGUAAUUUGCAGAGGAUGCUUCUGGGCAGCGGCCGGUCUAAGUUCCUUGGAACAGGACGUCAUAGAGGGUGAGAAUCCCGUAUGCGACCGGUUGGCACCCGUCACGUAGCUCCUUCGACGAGUCGAGUUGUUUGGGAAUGCAGCUCUAAAUGGGUGGUAAAUGUCAUCUAAAGCUAAAUACCGGCCAGAGACCGAUAGCGCACAAGUAGAGUGAUCGAAAGAUGAAAAGUACUUUGGAAAGAGAGUUAAAAAGCACGUGAAAUUGUUGAAAGGGAAGCGCAUGCAACCAGACUUGUCCGCGGUGUUCCGCCGGUCUUCUGACCGGUCUACUCGCCGCGGGCAGGCCAGCAUCGUCUGGGCGCGCCGGACAAAGGCGCAGGGAAUGUAGCCCCUCGGGGUGUUAUAGCUCUGCGCACAAUACGGCGCCGCCCGGGCGAGGUCCGCGCUUCGGCUAGGAUGCUGGCGUAAUGGUUGUCUGCGGCCCGUCUUGAAACACGGACCAAGGAGUCUAACAUCUAUGCGAGUGUUCGGGUGUCAAACCCCUACGCGGAAUGAAAGUGAACGGAGGUGGGAGCCCUCGGGCGCACCAUCGACCGAUCCUGAUGUCUUCGGAUGGAUUUGAGUAAGAGCAUAGCUGUUGGGACCCGAAAGAUGGUGAACUAUGCCUGAAUAGGGUGAAGCCAGAGGAAACUCUGGUGGAGGCUCGCAGCGGUUCUGACGUGCAAAUCGAUCGUCAAAUUUGGGUAUAGGGGCGAAAGACUAAUCGA
rnacentral:rRNA from 1 species